CCUCCUGCCACAGUCCAGGGUAGGAGAUACUUCUCCAGGCUCUCACUUAUGGGGGCUUUCCUGCUGGCUACAUCACUGAAAUGGAAUCUCCUAGUGGCCCUUCUCCCUCUACAGCUCUGGUGUUACACUGAAAAACUAGAAGUUUCAAAACAGACAAGGGAAAAAGAGAAACAUCAGAAAGUCUGAUUAAAGUAGAAGCAUCAUAUUUCUAUCAACGUAUCCACUGUGCUUGGACUCUGUAAUAUUCACCGGCAGGAAAACCCAAGGGAAUGACUACUAUGACAUCUGAUGUGAAUUUUUGCCACCUUCAAUGAGAAAGACUGAAACAAAAAACUCAGAAGAAAGAAAGAGACUGAGAUAGCAAAUAUGACAAACUGUUAAAAAUUCAUGAAUCUGUUAUGGAAUACUAUGCAGCCAUAAAAAAGGAUGAGUUCCUGUCCUUUGCAAGGACGUGUAUGAAGCUGGAAACCAUCAUUCUGAGCAAACUAAAACAGGAACAGAAAACCAAACACCACAUGUUCUCACUCAUAAGUGGGAGUUGAACAAUGAGAACACAUGGACACGGCGGGGUGGUGGGAACAUCACACACCGGGGCCUGUCAGAGGGGAGGGGGCUAGGGGAGAGAUAGCAUUAGGAGAAAUACCUAAUGUAGAUGAUGGGUUGAUGGGUGCAGCAAACCACCAUGGCAUGUGUAUACCUAUGUAACAAACCUGCAUGUUCUGCACAUGUAUCCCAGAACUUAAAGUAUAAUAAUAAAAAGAGAGAUUAAAAAAAUUGGUGAAUCUGGGCAAAAUGUACACAGGAUUUUUCUGUACUGUUCUUGCAACUUUUCUACAGAUUUGAAAUGUUACAAAAUAAA
rnacentral:lncRNA from 1 species